UUCCCUCCGAAGUUUCCCCCAGGAUAGCUGGAGCUUGAUCAGUUUUAUCGGGUAAAGCGAAUGAUUAGAGGUUCGGGGGAUGAAACAUCCUUCACCUAUUCUCAAACUUUAAAUAGGUAAGACGUGUCGGUUGCUUAAUUGAACCGGCACAUUCAAUGUGAGCUCCAAGUGGGCCAUUUUUGGUAAGCAGAACUGGCGAUGCGGGAUGAACCGAUAGUCGAGUUAAGGUGCCAAACUACGCGCUAACCUAGAUCCCACAAAGGGUGUUGAUUGAUAUAAACAGCAGGACGGUGGUCAUGGAAGUCGAAAUCCGCUAAGGAGUGUGUAACAACUCACCUGCCGAAUCAAUUAGCCCCGAAAAUGGAUGGCGCUUAAGCGCGUGACCUAUACUCGGCCAUGGAAGCAAGUGCGACGCUUCCAUGAGUAGGAGGGCGUGGGUGUCGAGACUAAGCCUCUGGCGUGAGCCUGGGUGAAUCGGCAUCUAGUG
rnacentral:ncRNA from 1 species